rnacentral:lncRNA from 1 species
GUUAAAAAUUAAGCUGCUGACUUUUUAUUGUGUAAAGAGUGCUUCCAAAAUUAUUGAAGAAAACAUGUCUUUCAAUAAUAACAACUCUAUUAGUGAGGGCAAUUAACAAGAUUUUGACACUUGGCAUCUUGGAGACCAUUGGAUCAGACACGUUCUGCUUCAGUUUUUGACAGAAAAAUUCAGAAAUUAUUUCUUUCCUUCAGCCCGUGAACUUGCCCCUUUCUUUCUCUUCGAGAAUCCCUAAUUUCUUGGUGAUUUAGGGUUCUUAUGUUGAAGAUAUUAUUGGAGAUUACUCUUGUUUUGUGACCGGCAGUUAGAGAAGAAAAUUUCAGAGACUUUAUUCUUGGUUUUUGGCAAAAAGACGUGAGAUAUUCUCGAGGGUUCGAAGUUGCCUGUCUCUUCUUCUCUGAGUGUUAAUUCUCUAUUAUUCUUGGGUGAUUCAUUUAACUGGAAGCAAGAUUUGGGAUAUUAUUCUUGGUGUUGAGACCGUAUUCGGGUUCUCGUUGUUCUCUGUGUGAGAACUUCAUUUUCUUCAUGAAAAGGGGUUUUUCUUGAGGGUUCCAGUAUAAAUGUUGAGAGUUACCGUGGUUAAAUGUGUGCCGAGUCUUGUAUGAACCUGUGUGGUUCAAGAAAGGGCAGUUUGGAGGGCAAAAUCUGUGUUGGUUGAUCUUUGUGAUCUCAGUUAGUUCCUGUGUGGAAUAGUGGUUGCCUUGUGUAGU